UCUGGGGUCAUGCAGACAUGCAGCAGACAGUCAAGAGAUGGCAAAACCCAGAACCAGCCACAACCUUUUAUGGCAGUUUACUUCCAGAAAUGGUACCUUUUCUGCAUCUUGCCUAUGAGCUGUCAGACUGGAUGAUCCUGGAAUAGGAGGGAGACUUAUCUCCUGACUCCUUAGCCUUACUUUUUAACCUCACCACCUAGCCUCAGCUUUUGCCUUGAGUUGGUUGUGGGCUCAAAUGAGUGGUGCACACUUGAUGGAGGAGGAGACAGAGAUCCUGCAGACCCAGAUGGGGAACAUCCACCCAGCCCGCCCUUUUUUUCUGCUCCUGACCCACAGGACGGAUCUGGAAUUUGCAUCCACUUCCCCUGAGGGAUUGCAGAUUGCUGAUAGGAACACUGAAGAGGUGUGGUGACUUGCACAGAUGGAGCCUGGACCAACAUUCCCUCUGCUGACACGGGAGGCCUGGGGUUCUUCACCCAGCAUCAUGCCACCUUGGCUGGACAGAGCAGCCAACCCUGAGGGGCGGUGAGGUGCUGUGGUCCCCUUACCACUCACCAUUCGAUGAAUGUACUUAGUAUGUAGACCAUGCUCGUCCUCAUCCAGCUGCGACUCAGCACCGUCCACAUCCUGUUUGUAUUUGGGGCUGAUUGCUACGAUUAUCAUCACUGUCUUCUGUUAAUGAGAGGGAGAAAAGCAUGUUUAUGGAAGUAUAAAGUGUGGUCCAUUUGGUGAAGGCAGGCUGGAACCCCGCCAGCAGGACUGUCAGCGUUCUCUGUCAUACUGGAGGAUGGAGGGCCAGGCUCAUUCUCUGUGUAAAGUGAAUGGCACUGGCCCCCACGCAGGCAGACUCUUGUUUCUGCUUCUCCCCUCUGUCUCCCUGUCCAGCUGCCCUCAAACACGCAGAACAAAUGGCUUAGAGAAGAGCUCUCCUACAUAGACGUGCUUUUGCCCACCAUUUUCCACAACAGUCAAAAAUAAAUGUCUAAUGAGAGCCUGAUCACUAAGUGAGUCUGUAUCGUGGCAAAAAGGCACUGCAAUACCAGCUAUGAAAAACACCCUCCCUCCCGCAGCUGGCUCUGAGCUGUCAGUUACCACACUCUCCACUGCCCUGCUUUCUGUGUGCGCAUAUUAGCACAGUCAGAAGGAACAGACCUUUCAGCACAAAGCAAACAUCAGGCUGCAGACAAAAGGAAAAGCCGCAAAACUCCAGCCUGCUGAUACUCCUGGCCCCCACUGGCUUCCUCCAAAAGAAGCGGCCGAUACAGCCACGCUGGCAGCAAUCAAUUUCUAUCUUGUUAAAGCACAAAGUGUCCCAGUGGCUGGUAUAGAUUCUGUCAGCAGAAAACAAAUCACGGGGCUGCAAGUGGGCGCCUGGGGGUGGUGUGCUGCACAGCCUGUGAGGCCACCCGCCUGGGAAACCUCUUCAGCCCAAUCCUACAAAACACUUGGGGUGGCCUCAGAUUAAAUUGAAUUGUGCCAUUCGCUCCCAACUCCGUCUUCCUUUCCUCCUUUCCUAUUCUGGUCAAAAAAUUGCUCUGAUUGUUAUCAA